CGGGGGGAAGAGGGUCUCCGCGCAGGUACCCCAGCCAAGCCGCGGUUACCCCGAAGACCCUGCGAGGUUCGGGGAAGUGACGCCCGCAGGGGUGAGACCUUCCUGCCUCCCGGCCUUUCACCCACCGAGGUCCUUCAAGUGUCUUGGAAUUUAAGGGGGCUCAUUUGUAAGAUGCCUCUCUGCUCGGAUUUCACCUUCGAUCCCACCCCGGACCACCUAGGAUCGUAAAUUCCAGAAGAGCGAGACCCUCCUAGGUCUUUCUCAUCACAACAGGUGGCUUGGUCCCAGACACAGUGGGCACUCAAAUACUUGCUGAAUAAAUGAAUGGAUUCGUUAAAGGGAAUACCAAUAUAUGCAUAUGUA